UGAAUGGAACACAGAGUGAGAAUUCUGGGUCGUGGUACUCAGAGUGGGGUUCUGAAGCACAGCCAGGAAGUCCACGCUUUUCUUAUUAUAGGAGGGGGGCACGUUGACGUUUUUUUUUUUUUUCCAAAUUAUGGAAUCAUCAACAGAAACAAAUCACAAUGAGUAAUUUGUUGCUCCUCCUCGGGCUUUUAUGACGGCCUGAAAUCUUCGAGGCACGGACUUCGCUGUUCUCCGUCAAGCUGGUUAGAUCAGAUCAGAUCAGAUCAGAUCAGCUUUGCAGGAUGGAGGCUUUUUUCAAAUGAUUUCCACCAUAGAUUUUCAGUCGGCUUGAGCUCCGGACUGUUUGCCGGCCGUGUCGUUGAAUUGAUCUGAGGAAAAGCUUUGCUCUGUGACAGGAUGCAUCAUCAUCCUGAACCAAACCUAUUUUCUAUCGAUGGAAUGAGAGAAGUGUCCAAAAUGUCAGCGUACACCUGUGCACUGACUGUCGAGGUCUCUCCUGGUGCGUUACCCCAUGAAAACCUCAUAUCAUAAACAAGUGGGGAAGUUUUCUUGUUUUCUUCAAGCGGUCAUCUUUAUAUGUCUGGUUAGAACCUCACCCGACAAAAGCUCCAGCACCAUCUCCUUGGCCGACGCAGAUUCAUCACUGAGUAUCACGUUCAUCCACACUCCAUGAUCGCGUCUCUUUAGCCCACUCUAACCUUGUCGUCAUCUGUUUAGGUGUUAGUGCUGCUUUCCUUUGAUAACCUUCCCAUUUUGUUUAUACUCGCACCGAAUUUUUAGACCCCAUGUCGGAUUUCCUUCUUGAAGUCGGAAGGAGUUUUAUAAUCCUCUCCACUGUUUCCACUGACGACUCUCUUGCCGGGGCCGUGUUUCCUUUCAAAAAAGUCCAAGGUUAAGAGAAGCUCAGGAAUAAACAGAGCAGAGCCGUGUUCAUGGAUUACAAGCUCGUAAUGCAGGAGAGUCAGUAGCAGGUCGUUCCAGCUGAUGACUCGGAGAGACACGGAGAAAACGAGAGAUAAGGAGACUGGGGCAGAUGAGUGGCAGCAACAGAGAGGACGGAAGAGCAGAAACAGGAUAAGGUGACGGAUUGGAUUUACUCGAUAAGAGAGAACGAGGUGAAAGGCCUAUUGAGUUUCCAAUCCUGCAGGUGGAUGAAGAGCACCAAACCUCCCGCGCCAAACAGCAGAACAAACCAGAAAGAGCAGGAAAGCUUCGGCCGAGACCCCCGACGUGACUCCCGCCUCCCUCUCACAGCCUCCAGCACUUUACAGUCCACCCACAGCAUCGCUAUACGCACUAGAAAAUGAAAAGAGAGAUAAGAUGUUAGUGAAGAGACAAGGUGACGGAGAAACCGUGUCUAAUCAGAUGGUGAGGUUGCAAGUAUUAAGUUCAAGUUAUCAUGUGUUGGCCGUUUAAUCUGGAUGUAUUUCACGGUUAAUAAUGACGAUCGAAGCCGAGCAGAGCGAGUCCAUCACUAGGCACGUCACAUGUUGGUGAAGACACUGAGUCCGGUCCCUCUGUAAUCCAGCACCUCACCUGAGCUGUCUGUGUACACAAAGCCACCGUUAUUCCCUGCUGUUAUCCCAAUUAAACACACCCCACAUCCACAAUCCUGUUUAUACACGUGAUAACACGUCAUCUUCUGGCAGUAGUCGUGUCCUUACACACGUGACGUGUACAGUCAUGUGCUUCGUCAUCUGAAGUCUCCAUUGAAUCGUUUUAUCUUUCACAUUUAAAAUGGUAAAUGGAGUCGGUUCAUUGCCUCCGGCUGCACUGUGAAUUUGCCGAUCUGCCUCGUGUUUAAACAGAAUGAAAAUCAACAAAAAGGUGUGUGUUAUGGAGCGGCCGGUCAGUCAGCUAAUGGCCCGCAGGAAGUCUGAUAGACAGACGGCUCAUUAAUCAAAAACAGCUCAGAGCUAAUUGUCUUUAUUUCACAGGUCUCUACUGAUCUGAGAUCAGUUUAACACAGCCACACAAACCCAGCAGAUAGAGAUUAGAAAUGAUCAUGGGAUUAAUGAUGCAUUACAUUGAGCAUUCAGAUUAUACUCACGCUGAUGGUGCGUGUCACGUGCUUAUACUUGUGAGAGAAGGUAGAUGGACGGGUGGAGGCCUACACCGCCUUCCUUGAGAAAGUAACUUCCUCUUUAUCUCGACUCAGGAGAUGUUUUUCCUUUACGCUAACAUGCUAUCCGUACGAAUAACACAUUCUCCACUCCAAAAACACCACGCUGGAGCUACAAUCAGCUGUGUGAUUUCAGACACGCCCCCUCGGGUGUCACGCCAGCAGGGUUGCAUUGUUUACACCGAUCGGUCUAGUUUUAAAACAGCAAAUAAGAAUCGUUUCCAACGCAAAGACUUGGAAUAGGAAGAAAAAUGCAGCGUCCUUUUCUCAUUCCCGAACUUCUUUGGGAUAGUUUCGGGGCUUUUCGUGCGGUUUUUGAGAUGCGGAUGAGGUGGAAAUUUUGCUGAGAUCUGGAAACUCUACACCAGAGUGCACAUUGGUUGUCUUGGCCAGAAUUCGAAUGUUUAAUUAGCCAUGUUUAAUUCCGUUACAUUCUAAUGAGCAACUUUUGUUUCGUUACACGCUACAUUAACUUUCAAUUACUGUACCUUUAUAAUUCUGCACGCUUUAAUCGACUGAAAAUGGAAAUUUAAC